AGCAGCCGCGGUAAUUCCAGCUCCAAUAGCGUAUAUUAAAGUUGUUGCAGUUAAAAAGCUCGUAGUUGAAUUUCGGGAUCAAUAUGUUGGUCGUGCCUCGGUACGUACUGGCAUAUUGGUUUCUCCUUUCUGAAGAACCAUGAUGUCAUUUAUUUGGUGUCGUGGGGAAUCAGGACUGUUACUUUGAAAAAAUUAGAGUGUUUAAAGCAGGCUCACGCUUGAAUACAUUAGCAUGGAAUAAUGAAAUAGGACGUUUGAUUCUAUUUUGUUGGUUUCUAGGAUCGACGUAAUGAUUAAUAGGGAUAGUUGGGGGCAUUAGUAUUCAAUUGUCAGAGGUGAAAUUCUUGGAUUUAUUGAAGACUAACUACUGCGAAAGCAUUUGCCAAGGAUGUUUUCAUUAAUCAAGAACGAAAGUUAGGGGAUCGAAGACGAUCAGAUACCGUCGUAGUCUUAACCAUAAACUAUGCCGACUAGGGAUCGGAUGAUGUUAAUUUUUUAAUGACUCAUUCGGCGCCUUACG
rnacentral:rRNA from 1 species